GCCCGGGUGGCGGAAUUAGAAGACGCAAAGGACUUAAAAUCCUUUGGAGAGUUUCUCUCCGUGAGGGUGCAAAUCCCUCCCCGGGCACAA
rnacentral:tRNA from 1 species